CCUACGGGAGGCUGCAGUGGGGGAUAUUGCACAAUGGGGGAAACCCUGAUGCAGCGACGCCGCGUGUAGGAAGACGGUCCUCUGGAUUGUAAACUACUGUCUCCAGGGACGAAGAUGACGGUACCUGGGGAGGAAGCUCCGGCUAACUACGUGCCAGCAGCCGCGGUACUACGAGGGGGGCGAGCGUGGUCCGGAAUUACUGGGUGUAAAGGGGGCGUAGGCGGGGUUGCAAGUUGGGUGUUAAAUCUACCGGCUCAACUGGUAGGCGCACUCAAAACUGCAGCUCUUGAGUGAAGUAGAGGCAGGCGGAAUUCCUAGUGUAGCGGUGAAAUGCGUAGAUAUUAGGAGGAACACCAGUGGCGAAGGCGGCCUGCUGGGCUUUUACUGACGCUGAGGCUCGAAAGUGUGGGGAGCAAACAGGAUUAGAUACCCGAGUAGUC
rnacentral:rRNA from 1 species